rnacentral:misc_RNA from 1 species
CACUGAUUACAAUUUUUUCUGCCGUGCCGUUUUUUUCGUGCGGACAAAUUUGUCGAGCGAAAAUAUGCAAAAUAAAGUGAAAUACUUGUGCAGCGCACGAAUGAAGCGCGCAAGCAUAGCGCCCGCUAGCCAAUAAGCCCGACCGACCAUAUAAGCUUCCUCAAAGGGAUCCGCCGCAAACAGGGGAAAGAAUUAGAAUGGCAAGAUAGUGUGUUUUAAAGCAAAUUCCACAAAAAGGUGCGUGAUAAAUGCAACAAACUGUAAGCCAGAGCGAGCGAACAGGCAACUACAACUGCAUAUGUGUGUCGUCGUCGUGUGUGUGAGAGAACGCGCGUAAGUGUGUGGUAGAGAGAGAGAGAGAGAGAGCGAGUGUGUGUGCCGUGGAGUGGGAAAGAAGCACGAUAAAACGAAACGCCAAGAAGUUUGCCAUCAUCUCUCUCUCCAUUCGCUGAUAAAGCAGAGAGCAAAUACACGCACGCACUCACACACACACACAUAGUGAUACACGAAUCGAGUGGAAAAUAGAAAAACAAUAAUCAGCAAAAGAGGAGCGGAAAGAAACAGUAAAGUGUAAAGAUCGAAAAUCGAAAGUGUCAAGCAUUUUUUCUAUAAAUAGUGAACAAAAAAAAAAAAAUAUACUCAAAUUACUAGUGAAAACUAAGUACUAAAAAAACCGCAAGUAACCAUCAAUACACCGAAUAAUCCCUAGUGGAACACGUCUCGGAGUCCGCCCGACACAGCCAACCAGCCAACCAGCCAGCCAGCCAACCCCCAGCCGCAUCAUGUCCACCCUGGACGCGCGCAACAACUCGGCCAUGAUGAAGCGGGCCGAGCAGCUGAAGCGCUGGGAGGAGUCGGACACCAACCGGGCCGCGCCCACGCCCCGCCACGAGCACGGGCGCCGCAUCAAAUUCAGCUCCGGCUGUGUCUUCCUUGCCGCCUGCCUCUCCGGCGACAAGGACGAAGUGAUCCAGCUGCUCGACCAGGGCGCCGACAUCAAUACUGCCAAUGUGGACGGCCUAACGGCCUUGCAUCAGGCCUGCAUCGAUGACAAUCUGCACAUGGUUGAGUUUCUGGUGAAGCGUGGUGCCGACAUCAACCGUCAGGACAACGAGGGCUGGACGCCGCUGCAUGCCACCGCCUCCUGCGGAUUUGUGAGCAUAGCACGUUAUCUGGUGGAGAACGGGGCCGAUGUGGCCGCCGUGAACAGCGACGGGGACUUGGCCCUGGACCUGGCCAUCGAUGUGCAGCACAGGGGCAUGAUCGAGUACAUGGAGAAGAUAGUCCAGGAGCUGAACAUCGAUGUGGAGCAGGCGCGCAAGGCCGAGGAGGAGGCGAUGCUGAGCGACGCCGAGCGCUGGCUGAGCAGCGAUGCCGCCGAGGUGGACAGGCCGCACCCGAAGACAGGGGCCACGGCGCUGCACGUGGCCGCCGCCAAGGGCUACACGAACGUGUUGAGCCUGCUGCUGGAGGGACGCGGCAAUGUGGAUCGUCAGGACAACGAUGGCUGGACGCCGCUGCAUGCCGCCUCGCACUGGGGCCAGCAGGAGACCUCCCGGAUGCUGGUCGAGUCCCUGGCCGACAUGGAUAUACGCAACUAUGCGGGACAGUCCUGCAUCGAUGUGGCCGACCGUAAAAUAGUCAAAUUCCUGGAAGAACUGCGGGCCAAAAAUCGCAACCAGCGGCGUCCAUCUAGUCAAAUCAGAAUCUCAGAUGCGAUUGAAAAUCGUGUGGACAAGACGCCCACCAAACUGGUGCGCGUUGAAGUGAGAACUGAUGCCACAAAGGAUGCUGCCAGCAGUUCGAACUGCGCCUCCAGUAGUGAAGCUUCGCUUCCAAUCGAUAAUGAUAAUGAUGAUAUUGAUGAUGAUGAUGAUGAUGCUGUGGCCCACGAGAGCGAUGCGGAAGAGCUGAGCGAUUCCACGGAGUCCUCGCACACCACAAGUCUAUCUGGCGAGAGCGAAGCGGAGAACGUGAAGCCCAAUCAACAGCAGAUCCAUGCCCUCGAGCAUCCAGUCGAGGAGGAGGCACCCUGGCGACGCAAGAUGGCCCGCGCACCCAACGACAGUCCCACUAAUAAUCAAGUUCCUGAUAGAGAGCUUAGCAGCAAUAGCUCGGAGAGCGCCAACGAUGUCAUAUUGCGACGCACCCAAAGCUUUGAGAAUGAUGAAAAAUUCUAUCAAAAGUACAAUGAGCUGCGCGCCCGCAUAAAGGCCAACUCCUGUCCCAUUCUGCCAGCGACUGCGGCGUCACAGGCGGCUGCCGCCGCCGCCGCUGCCUCUGCAGCUGCGAAUAAUUCCAAUUCCAAUAACAAUAAUAAUCUAAGUAGCAAUAACAACAAUAAAUUUAACAACAAUAACAACAACAAAAGCGCUCUGCUGCUGGGCUCAAGAACAACAAAUAACACUGCAACAACAACAACAUCCAGUACUUUCAACAACACGCACAACAACACAACAACAAGCACACCACAAACAGCAGCAGCAGCAGCAGCAGCUGCAGCAGCAUCCACUGCUGCAACAACAAAUCCAUAUUAUAGCGUACAAAGAUCGGCCUCACUCAAAGAUAACUCAAUGUAUUACAGGAAACCGACCGUUACACACGUGGGCACGCCCACUGGCACAGCAGCCACAGCAAAGACAACGCUCCUCAGUUCACCGUCGACGAAUGCACUGACCCCACCAAUACGCAGCCAAGUUACAGCGAAAACCACUGCCCAGAGCAAUAAUGGCAGCUCUUCCACGGCCAGUGCCAGUGCUAGUGCCAGUGCCAGCGAUGCGGAGACCGCCAAGCCACCGCCCAAGCAAUCCACGGGCAAUAUAAUCAAGAAUUUCUUCAAAUCUUUUGUACCGCCCGUGCGUGACGAAGAGAGCGAAACACAGCGCAAAGCGCAUGCCAAGAGAGUCCGCGAGACGCGUCGGUCCACCCAGGGCGUUACCCUGGACGAGAUCAAGAGUGCCGAGGAGUUGGUCAAGAAGAAGAACAUGGGCAUGGCCAACAACAACAAUAAUAACAACAAUAACAUCAGCAGCAGCGGCAGCAACGAUACAAGCGAAACAGCGGCAGCCACAGCCACAUCAGAACACACAUCAUCCAUCAGUGAUGCAAGCCAGCAAGAGCCACAGCCGCCACCACCGCCCACCACGCCGCCGCCAGCCAUAAUCCCCACCAGCGACGAGACGGAGAUCGAGACCAUUCUGGCCCCCAGUCCAGUGCAAAGUGCAAACGACACCACUGCCAGCUUCACCCUCUCCGCGCCGUCGAGACGCUCUGUGGUGGUCGACGACGACGACGACGGCGACGGCGACGGUGAUGGCAAGGCCGGUGGCGAUGCCGAUGAUCCGGAGGCAGUGGUCAGUGCCAGCUACACGAUAGUCUCGCGGCGCGACAAGAUCCCCGACAGCGCUGAGAGUGAGCCAGAGCAGGUGGAAUCAAACAAACAAAAGACUGACGAGCAGCAGGCGGAGAGCGAGGAGCAGAAGGCGAGGCCCACAGACCUGCCGCUGAGUGCGGCCCCGACUGAGGCCAUCAAGUCGUCCUCAUCGACCACGCCCGGCUCGCUCGAGAGUCCAGUGCGCUUGCGGGACAAGCGUGGCCUGUCCGGCAGCAGCCAGGAGACGGAUACCAAGUCGGACACCGCCUCGCCAGUGUCGGCGCAUCCGGACUUUAAUGCCCGCGACUCUCUGCUCAGUUUGUAUGCGCGCCGCACGACGGACGGCAGUGGAGGAGCAUCAGCUGCAGCAGCAGCAGCAGCGGCAACAGCAACAGGUGGUGCUGGUACUGGCGCUGGUGGUGCGGGUGGGAGUUCCACAUCAACAUCGACAGCGGAACGGCGUCCGUCUUGGCGCCUCAAAUUCGAUGCCGGCUCCAAGUUCAAGCUGGAGGACAACACCAGCGGCGGUACAUAUCCGCCCAACAACAGCACCAUUAUACCCAGCGCCCCGGCGGUGAUGGCCGCCGCCAAUCUAUCGACCACAACUGGUAUCCAGCGACGCAUCAGCAGUGGUCCCAAUGCCCUCAACGCUUCCAAUCAGUCACUGAACUCUGUGGGCCGCCCCAUCUCGGCGCCCAGCGAGAGCACAAACAACAGCAGCGCCUAUGCCACGCCAGCAGUGCGCAAAUAUGAAACGACAUCCACAGGAGCGGGAACCGGAGUGGGAGCGAGAGUGGGAGCAGCUGCUACUACGACAGCCACCACAACCGCCAAUUCAGUGUCUGCAACCAGUGCCAAUCAUGCAGCAGGAACAGCGGCAACAACCAAUGCCACAUCCAGCCAUGACGAUAAGGAAAACGACAAGGAGAACGACAAUCGCACACAGACCGUCAUACAGAGACGCCGCAAGCCGAAGCGCAGAUCGACCGGCGUGGUGCACCUUGAUGUGGAUGAACUGGAUCCCGAACGUCAGAACGAGGAGAAGGACAAGGAGAGCGGCAGCGAACGCACCUCUCGCUCCCGACUGGGCAGCACAACGAGUACGGCCGCAACGAGCACGACCAGGAGCGAGUCGAAGGGCAGCAGCGACAAGUCGGAGAACGGCGAUGGCAUUGACUACAAGGCGCUCUGGGAAGCGGCCAAAUUGGAGAACGAUAAGCUGAAGCAAGUGCUCAAGCAGAAGGAUGACGAGGUUGUGCAGACCCGCGCGACCCUCGAGAGAUUCGCCAAUGCCACCACUAAAAACUCACUCUCUGAGAUUGAGAAACGUGAACGAAGAGCUAUGGAACGCAAGCUCUCCGAGUUGGAGGAAGAGCUCAAGCUGUUGCAGAAGCUAAAGACUGAGAACGACCGCCUGCGCGCCGAGAACCGUGCCCUCACGCGAGUCGUCUCAAAGCUGACCACGUCGGCCCAGAGCCAGCUGGCCAAGGCCAAAUAGAGCCAUAUCGAAACGCAUUUCAAUCGCCUAAGCACACUCCCCCCACCCCCACCAGAAUCACACACUCACAAAAAAAGAAACAACAACAAACAAUCUCACAAACGCGCGAAUAUCGUUAUCGUUUCUAUAUACAUACACACGCAUAUAUAUUGAAUACUAUAUUUAACACAUUUUGAUGUCGUUUUGAAUACUCGAUAAAUGAUAAAUAAGUAUAAUCCGAAUAUAUCAGCACUUGUAACAAUAAUUAAGUGAAACUAGCUCACCUUUGAGCUCAUCAUGGGGCUUGAGAACCGCUCAUUGGUAAUACAGAUCCAGAUACAGAUACAGAUACAUACAGAUAGAAAUACCCACCUAUCAAUUAUUCAAACCUUCGACGAACUCUAUGGGUAGCGUAGAAAAAGUGUUUUAUAUACAUAUAGUAAAAUCUUGUUCCCACGGCUUGUUUUGCUCUAGAUCGAAAAAUGUUUGCGAAUUUAUUAUGUGUAAUCAAUAUCAAUAUAUCAUAUGUACUUAUGGGAACCACAAACCACUUGAAAUUGAACUUGAACGUGAACUGUAACCGCACUGAUUAAGUAACGUAAAUCAAAACCAUCAAAACCGCCACUCGAAUCAUAGUAAAGCCCAUUCAAAAUCCAGCGAAGCCCAAAAACGCUCAAUUGCUUGCCCAAUGUGUCCCCCACCAUCAGCAUCAAAAACACACAGCAUCAGCAUCAGCACCAGGCCCCGGUCCCGGUCCCGGUUCCGGUCCAAGGAUCUGCUCUCUCACUCUCUCUCUCUCUGUCCAGCCGCACAUCGGGGGGAGAACGGGAAGGUACAGCAGUGGUCUAGUGGAUGCUGGAAGCUUUACGCAACUCGAUGCGUACAAGUCGGAUAAUCAUCGCCUGAAGGAGGAGAACGCGGCGCUGAUUAGAGUAAUUAGCAAAUUAAGUAAAUGAAA